rnacentral:rRNA from 1 species
UACGUAGGCAGCGAGCGUUGUUCGGAGUUACUGGGCGUAAAGGGUGUGUAGGCGGUUGUUUAAGUUUGGUGUGAAAUCUCCCGGCUCAACUGGGAGGGUGCGCCGAAUACUGAAUGACUAGAGUGCGGGAGAGGUGAGUGGAAUUCCUGGUGUAGCGGUGAAAUGCGUAGAGAUUGGGAAGAACACCAGUGGCGAAGGCGGCUAUCUGGACGGUUUCUGACGCUAAGACGCGAAAGCGUGGGGAGCAAACAGG